UGGGGAAUCCUGGUCAAUGGGCGAAAGCCUGAACCUGCGACGCCGCGUGAGUGAUGAAGGUCGUAAGAUCGUAAAACUCUUUUCAGGGAUCUUAAAGCACAACCGUCAACAACGGCUGUGUGUGACUCUCCCUGGAAGAAGCCCCAGCCAACUACGUGCCAGCAGCUGCGGUAAUACGUAGGGGGCGAGCGUUAUUCGGCAUUACUGGGUGUACAGGGUAUGUAGGCGGCCAUUCAAGUAGCGUGUCAAAGUCCAGUGC
rnacentral:rRNA from 1 species